GGAAUAUUGGACAAUGGGGGCAACCCUGAUCCAGCCAUGCCGCGUGAGUGAAGAAGGCCUUAGGGUUGUAAAGCUCUUUCGCUAGGGAAGAUAAUGACGGUGCCUAGUAAAGAAGUCCCGGCUAACUCCGUGCCAGCAGCCGCGGUAAUACGGAGGGGACUAGCGUUGUUCGGAAUUACUGGGCGUAAAGAGUACGUAGGCGGCUCUGCAAGUUGGGUGUGAAAGCCCGGGGCUCAACUCCGGAACUGCAUUCAAAACUGUGGGGCUAGAGAUCGGAAGAGGUAAGUGGAAUUCCCAGUGUAGAGGUGAAAUUCGUAGAUAUUGGGAAGAACACCGGUGGCGAAGGCGACUUACUGGUCCGAUACUGACGCUGAGGUACGAAAGCGUGGGGAGCA
rnacentral:rRNA from 1 species